rnacentral:misc_RNA from 1 species
AAGUCGUAACAAGGUUUCCGUAGGUGAACCUGCGGAAGGAUCAUUAAAAGUGAUUGGUUAUACAUUUCAUGUAUCAACAGCAUUAACCCAUUCCGAGUACCUUGCUUGUUGCUUCCAAUGGGGCCUGACCUGGGUCACUCUUGCGGAUGUGAGACCCAAGAGAGUCUCCAUGGGAGGUAAUCAUUAAAUUCAUGUAUCCAAUGUCUUCUGUCUGAACUGUUUAUAAACAAUGUUAAAA